UACGAAGGGGGCUAGCGUUGUUCGGAAUUACUGGGCGUAAAGCGCGCGCAGGCGGCCUUCCAAGUCAGGGGUGAAAUCCCAGAGCUCAACUCUGGAAUUGCCUCUGAGACUGUGAGGCUUCGAGUACGGGAGAGGUGAGUGGAAUUCCCAGUGUAGAGGUGAAAUUCGUAGAUAUUGGGAAGAACACCGGUGGCGAAGGCGGCUCACUGGCCCGUUACUGACGCUCAGGCGCGACAGCGUGGGGAUCAAACAGG
rnacentral:rRNA from 1 species